AUACGUAGGGGGCGAGCGUUGUCCGGAAUGAUUGGGCGUAAAGGGCGCGUAGGCGGCGCGGUAAGUCUGGAGUGAAAGUCCUGCUUUCAAGGUGGGAAUUGCUUUGGGUACUGCCGCGCUUGAGUGCAGGAGAGGUUAUCGGAAUUCCCGGUGUAGCGGUGAAAUGCGUAGAGAUCGGGAGGAACACCAGUGGCGAAGGCGGGUAACUGGACUGCAACUGACGCUGAGGCGCGAAAGUGUGGGGAGCAAACAGGAUUAGAUAACCUGGUAGUCCACACUGUAAACGAUGAAUGCUAGGUGUAAGAGGUAUCGACCCCUUUUGUGCCGCAGUCAACACAAUAAGCAUUCCGCCUGGGGAGUACGGCCGCAAGGUUGAAACUCAAAUGAAUUGACGGGG
rnacentral:rRNA from 1 species